rnacentral:rRNA from 1 species
CGGCAGGCCUAACACAUGCAAGUCGAGGGGUAACAGAGAGAAGCUUGCUUUUCUGCUGACGACCGGCGCACGGGUGAGUAACGCGUAUACAAUCUGCCUUAUACAGAGGGAUAGCCUUUAGAAAUGAAGAUUAAUACCUUAUAGUCUAUUUUUAUAGCAUUAUAUAAAUAGUAAAGCUUCGGUGGUAUAAGAUGAGUAUGCGUCCUAUUAGUUAGUUGGUAAGGUAACGGCUUACCAAGACAACGAUAGGUAGGGGCCCUGAGAGGGGGAUCCCCCACACUGGUACUGAGACACGGACCAGACUCCUACGGGAGGCAGCAGUGAGGAAUAUUGGACAAUGGAGGCAACUCUGAUCCAGCCAUGCCGCGUGCAGGAAGACGGCCCUAUGGGUUGUAAACUGCUUUUAUAUAGGAAGAAACCUUUUCACGUGUGAGAAGCUGACGGUACUAUAAGAAUAAGGAC